rnacentral:rRNA from 1 species
AUUGAACGCUGGCGGCAGGCCUAACACAUGCAAGUCGAACGAGUGGCGGACGGGUGAGUACUGUCUGGGAAACUGCCUGAUGGAGGGGGAUAACUACUGGAAACGGUAGCUAAUACCGCAUACCAUCGGAUGUGCCCAGAUGGGAUUAGCUAGUAGGUGGGGUAAAGGCUCACCUAGGCGACGAUCCCUAGCUGGUCGGAGAGGAGGACCCGCGACACUGGAACGGAGACACGGUCCCGACGCCUACGGUAGGCAGCAGUGGGGAAUAUGUCGCAAUGGGCGCAAGCCUGAUGCAGCCAUGCCGCGUGUAUGAAGAAGGCCUUCGGGUUGUAAAGUACUUUCAGCGGGUAGGCGUUACCCGCAGAAGAAGCACCGGCUAACUCCGUGCCAGCAGCCGCGGUAAUUC